rnacentral:rRNA from 1 species
GGUUAAGUUAGUAAGGGCGCAUGGUGGAUGCCUAGGUGCCAGGUGCCGAUGAAGGACGGAGCGAACGCCGAAACGCCCCGGGGAGCUGUAAGCAAGCGUUGAUCCGGGGAUCUCCGAAUGGGGCAACCCCCUGCGGUUCAUACCGCAGGAUUCCGAUCUGAAUCCAUAGGGUCGGAAAGGUACACCAGGGGAACUGAAACAUCUAAGUACCCUGAGGAAAAGAAAACAACAGUGAUUCCCUAAGUAGCGGCGAGCGAACGGGGAAUAGCCCAAACCGCACAUGCUUGCAUGUGCGGGGUUGCGGGGCGUCUCAUACGAAGUUAUCAAUCCAUUGGGUAGGAGAACGGCCUGGAACGGCCGAUCGCAGAGGGUGACAAUCCCGUAUCUGAAACCAAAUGGACUUCGAGACGAACCCCAAGUACCGCGGGACACGUGAAAUCCCGUGGGAAUCCGGGAGGACCACCUCCUAAGGCUAAAUACACCCUGGCAACCGAUAGUGAACCAGUACCGUGAGGGAAAGGUGAAAAGCACCCCGGGAGGGGAGUGAAACAGAACCUGAAACCAUGUGCCUACAAUCAGUCGGAGGGCCAUACCACCCCAAAAAGUAUUACUUUUCGGGGACCCCGGUUAGCCUGACGGCGUGCCUUUUGUAGAAUGAACCGGCGAGUGAUGGUCGCAAGCGAGGUUAAAGCGAGAAGCUGGAGCCGUAGCGAAAGCGCGUCUGAAAAGGGCGGCAGUUUGCGGUCAUCGACCCGAAACCGGGUGAUCUACCCCUGGUCAGGGUGAAGUUGCGGUAAAACGCAAUGGAGGCCCGAACCCACUGACGUUGAAAAGUCAGGGGAUGAACUGGGGGUAGGGGAGAAAUUCCAAUCGAACUCGGAGAUAGCUGGUUCUCCCCGAAAUAGCUUUAGGGCUAGCGUUGGAGCGAGAGGGAUGGAGGUAGAGCACUGAUUGGGCUAGGGGCCUGUCCAAGGUUACCGAACUCAGUCAAACUCCGAAUGCCGUUUCCUUAUCUCCAGCAGUCAGACUACGAGUGCUAAGAUCCGUGGUCAAAAGGGAAACAGCCCAGACCAUCAGCUAAGGUCCCCAAGUUCCGGUUAAGUGGGAAACGAUGUGGCGGUGCACAGACAACCAGGAUGUUGGCUUAGAAGCAGCCACCAUUGAAAGAGUGCGUAAUAGCUCACUGGUCGAGUGACGCUGCGCGGAAAAUGUAACGGGGCUAAACCGGACACCGAAGCUAUGGAUGUGCCUGUCGGCACGUGGUAGGGGAGCGUUCUCAGCGAGUGGAAGUCAGACCGGAAGGUCUGGUGGAUGGCUGAGAAGUGAGAAUGCCGGUAUAAGUAGCGAAAAGACAGGUGAGAAUCCUGUCCACCGAAAGCCUAAGGGUUCCUGGGGAAGGCUCGUCCUCCCAGGGUUAGUCGGGACCUAAGCCGAGGCCGAAAGGCGUAGGCGAUGGACAACUGGUGGAAAUUCCAGUACCACCGUGUCACCGUUCCCAUCUAUGAUUUACAUCAAUGAAUGGGUCCCCGCGAAAGUAAUCGGAAUACGCUUCGAAGCGUUCCGUCACUUUCGUGGGAGAAUUAGCAAUGGAGUGACGCAGGAGGAUAGGGUGAGCGGCCUGUUGGAUGGCCGUGCAAGCAGCAAGGCUGGGAGAUUGGCAAAUCCGUCUUCCAUACGGUCAAGCUGUGAUGCCGAGCGAAAUUGUAGUAGCGAAGUCCCUGAUUUCACACUGCCAAGAAAAGCUUCUAGCGAGGGGACCGGUGCCCGUACCGCAAACCGACACAGGUAGGCGAGGAGAGAAUCCUCAGGUGCGCGGGAAAACUCUCGUUAAGGAACUCGGCAAAAUGGCCCCGUAACUUCGGGAGAAGGGGCGCUCUGGUAGGGUGUUCUUUACGAAUGCCUGAGAGAGCCGCAGUGAAAAGGCCCAAGCGACUGUUUAGCAAAAACACAGGUCUCUGCUAAGCCGAAAGGCGAUGUAUAGGGGCUGACGCCUGCCCGGUGCUGGAAGGUUAAGAGGAGGGGUUAUCCCUUGCGGGAGAAGCUCUGAAUUGAAGCCCCAGUAAACGGCGGCCGUAACUAUAACGGUCCUAAGGUAGCGAAAUUCCUUGUCAGGUAAGUUCUGACCCGCACGAAUGGCGUAACGACUUGGGCGCUGUCUCAACGAGAGACCCGGUGAAAUUGUAGUACCUGUGAAGAUGCAGGUUACCCGCGGCUAGACGGAAAGACCCCGUGGAGCUUGACUGUAGCUUGAUAUGGAAGUUGGGUACUUCAUGUACAGGAUAGGUGGGAGACUGCGAAGCCAGGGCGCCAGCCUUGGUGGAGUCAAUCUUGGGAUACCACCCUUGAAGUAUCCGGCUUCUAACUCGACGCCCUGAAGCGGGUGUGAGGACAGUGUCAGGUGGGCAGUUUGACUGGGGCGGUCGCCUCCCAAAGCGUAACGGAGGCGCCCAAGGGUUCCCUCAGCGCGGUUGGAAAUCGCGCGGCGAGUGCAAAGGCAAAAGGGAGCUUGACUGCGAGACUUACAAGUCGAGCAGGGACGAAAGUCGGGCUUAGUGAUCCGGCGGUGCCGAGUGGAAGGGCCGUCGCUCAACGGAUAAAAGCUACCCCGGGGAUAACAGGCUUAUCUCCCCCAAGAGUCCACAUCGACGGGGAGGUUUGGCACCUCGAUGUCGGCUCAUCGCAUCCUGGGGCUGAAGUCGGUCCCAAGGGUUGGGCUGUUCGCCCAUUAAAGCGGUACGCGAGCUGGGUUCAGAACGUCGUGAGACAGUUCGGUCCCUAUCUGCCGCGGGCGCAGGAAAUUUGAGAAGUGCUGUCCUUAGUACGAGAGGACCGGGAUGGACCGACCGCUGGUGUCUCAGUUGUGGUGCCAACUGCAUCGCUGAGUAGCCAAGUCGGGACGGGAUAAGCGCUGAAAGCAUCUAAGCGCGAAGCCCGCUUCAAGAUGAGAUUUCCCACUAGGAAGCUAGGUAAGACCCCAUGAAGAAGACAUGGUUGAUAGGUCUGGAGUGUACGUGUGGCGACACAUUGAGCUGACAGAUACUAAUCGGUCGAGGACUUAACCUA